GACCAAGUACAAAUGACAGUAAGCCUGAGACCAAGGCUUCUGUCCAAGUCAUUUUUAAAUGAGUCGAUUCUACACUCUGACUGGUGCAAGAUGCUGAAGGCAGCAUGGCAAUUUCCACCGUGAAAGCUGUGCCAUCGUUAUGAUGACACUUUUUCUGUCAGUGAGUAUGGAUGGGAUGACAGGUCAUUGCAGGGUACCAUGCACAAACACAUUCACACCUGGGGCAAUUUCUCUUAGCCAACCCACCUAUGUUUUCGGGAGGUGGGAGGAAAACUGAGAACUUGGAGGAAACCCAUGUGGACAUGAGAAGAACAUGCACAGACAUUCCACACAGUCAGUAACCCCAUCUUAGGAUCAAACCCAGGACCCUGGCGCUGUGAGGUGGCAAUGUUAAUUAAUCUGAAUUAUUUAUAAUUACAAAAUUAUUCAUUAAAAUAAUUUUGUAUUAUAUAGGCAUUUCAAGUUCUUACUCAGUUUUUGCUCUCUAGAUAGUGUCCUUUCAGCACAAAAUAUGACCGAAACAAACAAAAAAAAAGUGAACAUGACCAAAGACCAAUGCUAUGCUUUUAACUGCCUUUUGCUAUUUUGUGUAUUAUAUAUAUAUAAAUACACGUCCCAAAGUGUUUUAUUUCUCAUAUACCAUAGCAUUUUGUCUUUUUAGUUAUUAAAGAAAGACAUGUCAUACUUAUCCAUUUUAUCCAUUUACUGUAUAGUUAUAAUGCAAUGGUGUGGAAUGUCUAUUAAACAAGUUAGUUCUUGUUAUCACGUCAUAGCAGCUAUAAACAGUCGUUCCUUAACCAGCUGCUCUUUUUCUCUCUAUUGACGUUCUGACCAAUUUGAAUUGAGAAUUCAACAGCACUGUGGUAUAAUAUAAAAUAAGCUAUUUGCCUAUUAUUAUUAUUUUUUAUUUUGUGGCAAGGAAAAUCAAUUUGUGAAUUAAAGCAGCAUUUUACUAAUCACCUCACAACCUUCAGAUAACUCCCAAUUUCACAGGUCCUGUAAAGUGAUGAGAAACAGACACAGGUACUCAGUUUGGGUAUAUCUAGCUCUGGAUUCAGGUUUAAUAACCGCACUGUCUGGUGGAAAAGUGCUGUCCCUGAUAGAAAAAAAAAAAAACAAUAAAAACCCUCAUAGAAUUUGUAAUGGUUAUAAUGGGAAAAUUUAUUGGUUUUAAUGGAAACUGUAAUGGUCCCUGUGGCUUUCUACUAGUAAUUUGUUGCCUUCUAUUGGUGGCAUGUUAUGUUUAGUGGAUACCAUUAAGGACCAAUAAUAGUAAUGGUAAUGCUUUUAAUGGUUAGCUGAUGGUUUGUAAUGGUAUUUGUAGUGGAAACCAUUAAAAAUCUCUCUCUCUCUCUCUCUCUCUCUCUCUCUCUCUGUCAAGCUACACUUGCUACUCCUGAGAUACCAGUGAUCCUGACCCCUUCUGCUCUCAGGAUCUGCCUGAUCCAUCCUGAUGCCCUACUUCAGUUGGAAAUCACUCGCUGAGGACGGCCCCACAUGGACAGCCUAAAGCUCAGUGAGAUUACUGAGGAUGGUACCACAUAGAAACCAUGCAGAUGGCUUUGGACCACAAUUCAUAUGAACAGUUAUGCUAUGAUGGCUUAGGACUACGAUUGCCAUGCUAGCUUUAGGACUGCAAUUCCCAUGAACAGUUUUGCACUCAAGUCUCCAUCAAUGAACAGUGGAUAAGUUCAACAAAACAGACUUCAUGUGAAAACUGUAAUGAAUUUCCUGGUUACACAAUUUCACUAUUUAUCCAUGUAGUACACAGUUAUAGAAGGGAUUUAUUUAUAUUAAUUUAUUUAGAUUAUAUUAUAUUUAUUUCUAAUUGCACUAUCCGGAGUCACCCAGAUGAUGAUGGGUUCCCUACUGAGUCUGGCUCCUCUCAAGUUUUCUUCCUCAUGUCUUCUCAGGGUGUUUUUCUUUGCCACCGUCGCUUCUGGCUUGCUCAUUAGGGAUAUAGUUAUACAUUUAAAAUUUAUAUCCUGAACGUAUUUAUUUCAGUAAAGCUGCAUUGUGACAAUGUCUAGUGUUUGAACUGAAGAAUUCCUGUGAUGGUUUCAGCGAGGGUAAGUGACCUGUAUCAUCAUUUAUGGGUACACGCCUGUGGGGUUAGUCAGUCUCAGACCUGUGAGUCUAAUAUAUCAGGUGUUUCACUCCACCACUUCCUGCCUAAAAUCCUGAUUUCAGCUCUGAUAAACAGCUCCCAAGUCCAAUAUACAGGAGUCCAGUAGAGCUGUCUAUAGGGUUGAUGGAAACUGAAUUCAGGUUACCAUUUACCUGUAUGCUUUACAACAGACCACAAGGGUUUACUGUUCAUAAUAGCCUUAAAGCUGAAAUGAACACUUCUACCAACAAACUACAAAAAAAAACUUCAACUAAGCUAGCUAGGAUAGGAAGAUAUUGAAUUAAGGUAAGCUUCAUUUCAAAAUUAGCCACAUUUUGGCUAACCUAAGGCAAGGUUUAUACUGUAAAACUUGAUGUUUGUUAUUUUCUUCGUGAAACGCAUUCAGUCAAACAGUACUAUCACAAUCUUAGCUUUACAUCUCCAUUUUUUUUUUCACUCGUCUUCCGGGAAAUCCCGUUUGCGGCACUAUGAUUGGCUGGUAGUCCAUACACACAAGUCCUGCUCCAAUUGGACACUGUCACUGCGAUUAUGAAGAUGAUGCAGUAGCCAAUCAUAUUACAGGAGGCGGGAUUUUUAGGAAAAUACCACGAAAAUAUCGCACCUCAUAUUUAGCCAUUAGCUUUAUUAUAGCGUUAUGUGGUUGACAGCUAGAGUCAAUGCGCGACAUUUUUUGGCGAUGAUGGCCGUGUCAGCUGAUUCGGAGCGUUUGGCCUCUUUGGACUCGUUGGUGUGAUACGUCCCCUUGUGCCGGAACAUGUAGCGUAUCAGGAACAACAGAAUGCACAGGAUGGUGAAGAUGACCACAGCAAUGAUGCCUAAAUCAAGAACAGAGAAUAUGGAAACGUCCACAGAAAUAUUGCUGACGUAACUAACAGGUGCCAGGGGUCGGUGGCAGCUGACAUUGGGGAAAUGGUGAGAGGUGAUGAGCCACAGUUGGAUUCAACCAGUUUGCCUUGGUGUGACACUGGCAGAGAGAGCUGGGGG